rnacentral:tRNA from 1 species
UUUGACUUGGCAGAAUUAUAUGUACUUGAUUUAGGAUCAAAUUAUAACACUAAGUGUUAGUCGGAA